GGCGCUCUCCCCGAGCCCCGCGGCCGCUCGGCGCUCCCAAAGUAGUUCUCGCGGCGCUGCCUCACGCCAUUCCCGGGAGCCGCCGCGGAGGGAUACGCGUCGUAUCGCCGUGCGCUGAGUGGGGCGCCGCGCGGGCCCGGGCCGGCGGGGCUGAUGGGUACCCCGAGCGGGGGCCCCCGCCGGGAUCCCCCUACGCCGAGCCCGCGGGAUAGAGGCUCGAAGCGGGGCAGGCAAAAGAAAGCAUGGGUGGUUUCUGUUCACUGUAACGUUCCUGUUCCAAACUCCAAAGGGGCUCUGCCAUCAGCGUGAUGGAGCAAUCAUAGCAAGCUGCUGUCACGCCGCUCUGCUCAGUGGCCCACGUGGCACGUGUUUGCACGCAUCCCAAACGUGCCAUGUGAUGCUCUCUUCCUUAUCAGGGCAGCUUUUGGAGGAAAUUUGCUAAUUGUUUAGUAAAAACAUUUUUUUUCCUAAAAUGGUACAGUCAAAAAUGGAUCGGUUAUUCAUGGCACAAUCUCAUCUGAAUACUAAAAAUAUACCAGAAACCUAGUUUUGCACGAUAUUACAAUUCUCAGUGAUUCAAAUGUGUGAUUUGAAUAUAGGAACUUCUCUCCUGCCCCCUAAAAAUGUGUUUUGAAACUCAGCUGUGGGGACAUCAUGUUACUCUACCUAGCAGCAAGAAUUCUUUUCGAGUACUUUCUGCCUUGUGAUGGGCAGAUAAUGGCCUGUACAGGAGCGCUCGGGAAUCAACUCUGUUUGUCAUACAGCUCUAUUCAGACACCUCUGAAAAAAGAGACAUGAUGAUAACAAAAAGAUGGAGAAAUCUGCUGCAUUUUUUAAAAUUCCUUAAAUAUAUUUAUUGUAAUAACACUUGUCACCAUGACGAUUCAAUAAAAGGAACUCGUUUGUAAUCUAGCACAAAUAAUGAAAGCUUUUAAGAAUGUCUA